rnacentral:rRNA from 1 species
UACAGAGGGUGCAAACGUUGCUCGGAAUUAUUGGGCGUAAAGCGCAUGUAGGCGGCAUGGUAAGUCGACUGUGAAAGCCCUUGGCUCAACCAAGGAAGUGCAGUCGAAACUGCCAAGCUUGAGUCCCGAAGAGGGUGGCAGAAUGGCCAGUGUAGAGGUGAAAUUCGUAGAUAUUGGCUAGAAUACCAGUGGCGAAGGCGGCCACCUGGGAGGGUACUGACGCUGAGAUGCGAAAGCGCGGGGAGCAAACAGG